rnacentral:rRNA from 1 species
ACGGCUGAGUAACGCGUGGGAAUUUGCCCCAAAGUGAGGAAUAACUGCCCGAAAGGGUGGCUAAUGCCGCAUAUGAUCUUCGGAUUAAAGGAUUUAUCCGCUUUGGGAGAAGCCCGCGUCGGAUUAGGUAGUUGGUGAGGUAAUGGCUCACCAAGCCGACGAUCCGUAGCUGGUCUGAGAGGAUGACCAGCCAGACUGGAACUGAGACACGGUCCAGACUCCUACGGGAGGCAGCAGUGAGGAAUCUUCCACAAUGGGCGAAAGCCUGAUGGAGCAACGCCGCGUGCAGGAUGAAGGCCUUCGGGUUGUAAACUGCUUUUAUGAUUGAGGAAUUUGACAGUAGAUCAUGAAUAAGGAUCGGCUAACUACGUGCCAGCAGCCGCGGUCAUACGUAGGAUCCGAGCGUUAUCCGGAGUGACUGGGCGUAAAGAGUUGCGUAGGCGGUUUGUUAAGUGAAUAGUGAAAUCUGGUGGCUCAACCAUACAGGCUAUUAUUCAAACUGGCAAACUCGAGAGUGGUAGAGGUCACUGGAAUUUCUUGUGUAGGAGUGAAAUCCGUAGAUAUAAGAAGGAACACCGAUGGCGUAGGCAGGUGACUGGACCAUUUCUGACGCUAAGGCACGAAAGCGUGGGGAGCGAACCGGAUUAGAUACCCGGGUAGUCCACGCCGUAAACG